CCUACGGGUUGCAGCAGUGGGGAAUAUUGGACAAUGGGCGCAAGCCUGAUCCAGCCAUGCCGCGUGAGUGAUGAAGGCCCUAGGGUUGUAAAACUCUUUCAGUGGUGAAGAUAAUGACGGUAACCACAGAAGAAGCUCCGGCUAACUCCGUGCCAGCAGCCGCGGUAAUACGGAGGGAGCUAGCGUUGUUCGGAAUUACUGGGCGUAAAGCGCGCGUAGGCGGUCUAUAAAGUUGGGGGUGAAAUCCCGGAGCUCAACUCCGGAACUGCCUCCAAAACUGCUAGACUCGAGUUCGGAAGAGGUAAGUAGAAUUCCCAGUGUAGAGGUGAAAUUCGUAGAUAUUGGGAAGAAUACCAGUGGCGAAGGCGGCUUACUGGUCCGAUACUGACGCUGAGGUGCGAAAGCGUGGGGAGCAAACAGGAUUAGAUACCCCAGUAGUC
rnacentral:rRNA from 1 species